rnacentral:rRNA from 1 species
UGAUCCUGGCUCAGAUUGAACGCUGGCGGCAUGCCUAACACAUGCAAGUCGAACGGUAACAGGCAGAGCUUGCUCUGUGCUGACGAGUGGCGGACGGGUGCGUAACACGUAGGAAUCUGCCUAGUAGUUGGGGAUAGCCCGGAGAAAUCCGGAUUAAUACCGAAUACGAUCUACGGAUGAAAGGGGGCCUCUUCUUGAAAGCUCUCGCUAUUAGAUGAGCCUGCGUCGGAUUAGCUAGUUGGUGGGGUAAUGGCCUACCAAGGCAACGAUCCGUGGCUGGUCUGAGAGGACGAUCAGCCACACUGGGACUGAGACACGGCCCAGACUCCUACGGGAGGCAGCAGUGGGGAAUAUUGGACAAUGGGCGAAAGCCUGAUCCAGCAAUGCCGCGUGUGUGAAGAAGGCCUGCGGGUUGUAAAGCACUUUCAAUUGUGAAGAAAUGCUUAAGGUUAAUAACCCUGAGUCUUGACGUUAACUUUAGAAGAAGCACCGGCUAACCCUGUGCCAGCAGCCGCGGUAAUACAGGGGGUGCGAGCGUUAGUCAGAAUUACUGGGCGUAAAGAGUACGUAGGCGGUUACUUAAGUCAGAUGUGAAAGCCC